AUCAUAAGCAAUCACAAAAGAAGCAGGAUUCCAGAACCUUUUUUUAAACACAAGUGUUUGAGAUCCUUUGAACAAUGUGUGUCAAGACAGACUACUAACGCAGAAACACCUCACUGAAAGAAACAACAAAAAUAACGACAAAGAGGCAAAUUAAGAAUAAGGAAAGAAGCAACCAUAAAACACGGAAUUAUGCUACAACAUUUUUUAGGUGAACGUUGUAAGUACACAAAAGUUGUUAAUAAUAACUUGCUUCUAUUUACAAAUACUUUAACACUGGUUGACUUACAAGUAUCCACUAACGUUGUUAACAGCACAAUAGGUUUAAUGCUUAAUCUUUUUAAGUUUCUUUGAAGUAUAAUGUCAAGUAUAGCAGUCCCAGCACAAAUCAAUGACAAAAAGAGCACAAUUUUCUAACUGGAUAUGUUUGUCAGUCACUCUAAUCCAUGGAACUUUCUUACUCUCCAAAUGCAUAUUCUAUUGUUCAUAGCAGCAGUCCAGGGUCAAAAGUAAAAUUCAAUUAACAAAAGAAAGAAAGAAAGAAAAGAAAAAGAAGAAAAAAAAGAAAAAAGAUAUUUGCACAAUGGAGUGAUCAUCUCUGGAGAGUUUAAUCAAUUCUAGUAAACAAGAUCACAUGGCUAGUAGAACUAUCUUCUUUUUUAUGUUGUAAAAUAUUGUAUCCUCCAUGGUGCUAACACAAAGUUAUGGAUAUCCCUGCUAUAAAGGGGCAUAGUUAUAGUUAUAGAGAUCUAUUGAAUACAUAAAGCUCUGACACACACAGUAUUAGCAUGUCUAUUUAGAUUAAAGUUAUUAGGUCCCAUAUAGCCUUUUUUUUUUUUUUUUUUUUAGAGUUGGUGCUCCUUCGGACUCUCAAUAGUACCUCCUGCUUGCUUAUAAGACUUCAGAUUUGCCAGAGGAAUGUCUGUCAUGUGGCUGCCAUUGUUGAAAUGGCCUUCAUUGGAGCCAUACUGCUUACGGUCAUUGAACUGGUUCCUGUUGCUAUCUUCUUUCCAGGCUCUGGUAAGGGUGUGCCCAUUCACAAGCUUGUCCUUCUUGACCCAUUCUUUCUGGGGUGCAAAGGUUGAGAGAGGAGAUUUAGGGUGUUGAUAUGGGCCCAAGCCAGGAGGCAUCCAGCAAUUAUCAGAGUGACCCAAAACCAAGCACUCUUGAGUGCACAUCUCUGUGGCUUCAGCUAAUCCUCGGGGACCCAAAGGCCCAUCUACAGAGGGCAAGAGACAGAGAAAAUAAGAAAAGAAAGUGGUUAGAACUGUAAUUUAAAAUUGUCACCUUUGAGAAGAAGUGCAUUGGUGAUUUCAUUUUCUUAUGAAAGUAUAAUAAGUUACGCAAUUCAAAGAAUUCAGUCUUUUAAGAGGAACAGAAAGAAUCGAAUUCCUUGUUGUGGAAGUAAGAAUCAUCUCUUUCCUUCAGCCUUCAUUUAUAUCGAGAAACAGACAUGAGUAAACAGAUAUACCCACAAGACACCAUUUCUGAUCAACUGUUUCUGUCGAGUAUGUAUUGUUACUGAUUUACCGUCUAAUUCUCAACAAAAAGCCCUUAUUCAUGAAAAAUUAUGAAGAGUCGAAAAUUUUUAUGUGUGAUGUUGAAAAAUAUGUAAAUAUGUAAAUGUACAACUCCAUAAAAACAAAAUACUUGAAAUAUAAUAUUAAAAAAUAAAUACUCUAAAUGAUUAUAUAAAAUAUCAGUUUUCCAUAAAAACAUGUUAUUUUUAUACAAAACCACACAAAAGUAAUUGUGCAACAUUUUUAAAUUAAAAAAAAUUAAAGCAUAUUUUAACUGUGUGUAUUACUAAAGGAACACCUGGUCUGCUGCAAGCAUUCUGAAAUCCAAGUAAAUAAAGAAGUCAUUUGCAUUCAAAGACAGCAUUUGGUUGUUUCCAAACCUAACCUAUUUUCUUUUCUUUUAAAUUUUUUUAAUGUUUAUUUACUUUUGAGAGAGAGAGAGACAGAGUGUGAGUGGGGGGAGGGGCAGAGAGAGAGGAAGACACAGAAUCUGAAGCAGGCUCCGGAUUCUGAGCUGUCAGGACAAAGCUUGACGUGGGGCUGGAACCCACGAACCACGAGAUCAUGACCUGAGUUGAAGUCGGACGCUUAACCGACCGAGCCACGCAGGUGCCAACAAGCCUAAACUAUUUUCUAUAUUUCGAAGCGUAUUAAAUAAAUUCACUGGAAUGAAAGUCUAGCUAAGUUGCAAAUUGGAUCACAUGGAGUCUAAUAUUCAGGGGGGAAAAAGGCAUUGUAGAUAUUUAUCUAUUGGUUUGCUUGUUUUUCCUAGCAGGCAAUCUAGAACAUAUAUUUUAACCUUCAUUUCAAAAGUAAACUCUUUUCUGAUUAUAUAAAGAGGAAAUUAGCCCUUUACUGAAAAACAACAGCCAAAUGAUUCAGGAAAAAACUGUUUUGUUUUGUUUUCUUUCCCCUUGAUUAAACAGUCAAGUGAUAAGUGAUAGGCUGGAAAUUAGGAAUUGAUUUUACGAAGGAGGUUAAGUGGAGAGGCAAGAAUGGCUGAGGCAAAAAGCAUUUUCAAAAUAGUCACCAGAAUAAAAAUGUAGAAGAAAAUGAAGAAAACAUUUCUGCAACUUUGCCUCAUCAACAAUUAAAACACUUAAUCCAUUGAUUGGAAUGUAUGUUUUUGCUAAAGCCCAAGUUAGCACUACUAACAUUUUUAAGUGCCCCAAAUUGUGCUUUUUAAUUUUAACAUCUAUUUGUCUUACUAAUAUUCCAGUUAUUCCUUGCAUAUGAAAAAAUUCCUGCUGAAAUAGGUAACAGUUGAUACAAAUACCUGAGACCACAAAACACAAGCAACAUCAGAAUGGUCACCAGAUGUGAAAAAAAUGUGGCUAAAAUUUACUCUUUCCUGCAAAUUCAAAUUUUAGUCAUUUUUAAAAUCUAAAACCUUCUCUUUAGAACAACUUUAAAAUUCUUUCUCAUCUGACCUGUAUUUCCAUCCCGCCAAAAGCAAACAGAUAUAUUUCGUUUAAACACACGCUCAUUACUCAAAACUAUUUCUGUCACAAACCUCCAAAGAUUACUUACAUCCUAGUAUAUUUAAUUUGAACUUCUCUAUGAGCCUUUCUUUGUCCUCAGAAUUCUGCCCACCCUUCAAAAGUUCAAACUAAUUUCUCCCUUUUAGGUUCAGUUUAGUGUGCUCAGUGAUUCUGUAUCCACAAAGCGAACACAUUUUGCUCAAACCAAUUCAUGCUCCUUACAUUGAGAUCACAGGUUUAGAAGAUGCUUUUUGCAUGCUUUGGACUAUUUUCAUUUAAUUACUUAUUCUUUCAAGGUCAGCUUGCUUCCCAAGUACCAAAGCUAACUCCCACAACUACACCAAUUCAUAUUUUGUGUGUACCUUGAAGAUAUCCACAGAUCUCCUCUUAGUGAUGAAUGACAAUUUUCCUAAUUGAGCUUCCUCAACUCCUGCCUUAAUGAUACCUUUUUCUUUUGAGGGAGGUUCUGUACUUUCAUGAGUUUCAUUUUAUUUUUGUUUUAUCCCAACUAGAAAAAAAAAACAACUUCUCAGUCUUUUGAUUCCUUAUUGUGCUAAGCAACAGUGAUGAUCUAUGAACAAUGUUAAUUGUUAAUUAAAAUUUUAUGAGGUUGAAAAUGUUCUGAGAAAUAAUUAAAAAUAUCCUCUGCUUAAAGGCAGACCUUAAGUAAUUCUAAUAGAAGAUGCUGAUUUCACAAACAUCACACCAAAAGCUUCCUCAACAGCACAUCUCUUUGCUUCACAAUACUUUGUGACAGAUAAUAAAUGAAUUAUUUAACUUCGCUGUUAAACAUAUUCACUCCUUUCAAGACAUCAAUGGAGAUAAAGUAAUCACCAAUUUGAUGUGCAAUCUAGCUUGAGGCCUCUAAACCAACCUUCGUUUUUUACUUUUCUAGAACCAUUAAGUUUUUCUUUUUUUGUUGUUGAUAUCUCAAAGGAAAACAAAUAAUUAGCUAUCUCAGAAAUAUCAAUAGAACUAGGUUUUUAUUGAGUACAUAAAAGGAAAGAAUAUGCAAGAUUAUUUUUGUUUUAUUUAUAAAUAUUUUUAUUUAUUUUUAAUUUUAUUCAAAUCCAAGUUAGUUAACAUAUAGUGUAAUAUAGCUUCAGGAGAAGAAUUUAGUGAUUUAUCACUUACAUAUAACACCCAGCUCUCAUUCCAACAAGUGCCCUCCUUAAUGCCCAUCACCCAUUUAGCCCAUCCCCCCACCCAACACGCCAACACCCCUCCAGUAACCCUCAGUUUGUUCUCUGUAUUUAAGAGUCUCUUAUGAUUUACCUCCUUCUGUUUUAAUCUUAUUUUUCCUUCUCUUCCCCUAUGCCCAUCUGUUUUGUUUCUUAAAUUCUACAUAUGAGGUAAUCAAAAAGUAUGAAAUCUUGGCUUUUGUAACAACAUGGAUGGAACUACAGGGUAUUAUGCUAAGCAAAAGAAGUAAGUCAGGGAAAGAUAAGUAUCAUAUGAUUUCACUCAAGAUUGUUUUUUAAAAUAGCUUUAUCCAACAUUCAUUAUCCUCAUAUUAAAUUAAGAAAUUACCCAGGGGGCACUUGGGUGGCUCAGUCAGUUAAGCACCUGACUUUUCACUUAGGCUCAGGUCAUGAUCUCACAAUUUGUGAAAUAGAGCACCAUAUGAGGCUCCGUGCAGAGUCUGCUUGGGAUUCUCUCUCUCUCUCUCUCCCUCUCUCUGCCCUUCCCCUGCUGACACACAUGUUUUCACUCUCUCUCUCUCUCAGAAUAAAUAAACUUCUAAAAAUAUUUAAAAAAAGAAAGAUUACCCAGAGAUUGAGAAAGUGUGUGUGUGUGUGUGUGUGUGUGUGUGUAUCAGAAUAUGUGGACCCUAAGUCUUCAGCAAUGAGUGACACAUUUUAACAAAUACUGUAUUUUUUUUUUCAGAACUGGUAACAUUUAUUUAUUCCAUAAAUAUUUACUGAGCACAUAUUAUAUGCUGACACUGUGACAGGCACCAGGAAUACAGCAGUGGUCAAAAUAGAUGUCAACACUGUCCUCAUAGAGUUUUCAGGUUACCCUGGGAAUUUUUAAAGUUCUCACUACUUUUAUUUUACAAGCAGUGAACAAAGAGGGAAGAAAAGGGUAUCCUUAAGAAGGAACAGGUGUCAUUAGCAGUCAACUGAUUUAGGAAGGCUUGUCUCUUUGCAAGGUAACAGAUGGACUUUUUUCCCUAUUACAUCAUUUCCACCUUUUUCUGAAAGUUCCUCUUACAGAUAAUUGACAAGUAAAGACAUCUACAGUUAUGAGUACUAUACAAAAUCCUGACUGGUAAAAAAAUGAGCUUCUUGGGGCGCCUGGGUGGCGCAGUCGGUUAAGCGUCCGACUUCAGCCAGGUCACGAUCUCGCGGUCCGUGAGUUCGAGCCCCGCGUCAGGCUCUGGGCUGAUGGCUCAGAGCCUGGAGCUUGCUUCCGAUUCUGUGUCUCCCUCUCUCUCUGCCCCUCCCCCGUUCGUGCUCUGUCUCUCUCUGUCCCAAAAAUAAAUAAACGUUGAAAAAAAAAUUAAAAAAAAAAAUGAGCUUCUUUCCAUUAAAUAAUAUCAAUCGCUCUUUGCGAAUUAUACUUAGAUUUAUUCGCACAAGUAAAUUUGAAGGCUUUUGAUAAAAUGCAUAAAUAUAUUUCCAGACAUUUCUAGAUUCUUAGGUAAGUCUUUCAGGUAGCUGAUUCCUGUAUAAGAUUGAUAGAUCCACCGCAAGGUGGAACACAACACAACACUUGAAUGAAAGCCAGAAGUCUGUGUUCCUUAUGGCUCUAAAAGAGAAAAGGCCACGGGCAGGGGGGCACAGAAGGUUGCACCAGGAAAAGGUGAAAAAGGGGGAAUUUCGGGAGGGGAGGGCGUUUAUGCCUGGCAGACAGGGUGGGUGGGGUGAGCUGGUUCCCUGGGCUGUCUGUGGACUGAUGAAUUUGAAUAAUUUCUCACAUUCUAGGGGACAGGGGCUGUCUGAAGUUGUCUGGUAUGUCACCCCUGGGCAAUUAAGGAGGGUGCAUAAUGAUCUAGGAGUGUGAGGUCUCUAGAAGGGAAGUAAUGUGUGGUGUGGGAUCAUUCAAGGGGAAGUGACCAGACUUUCGCCAGGACCUCAGCACUCACUCAACACAGCAUUAAAGAAAAAACAUAAGUAUAUGAAAUUGUAUGACACAAAUUUUCUUAUAUGCUUGAACCACAUGGUUGGGAAAUAUACUUCACUUUAUGUUUUGGUUAAGUUUUAUUUAGGGACAUGACAUUGAAUAAGGAAAUUUUUACUUGUUUUAUUUGGGCCUAUAUUUAAUCACCAGUAGUUGCCUUGAUGUUAAACAACAACAAACCACCCCCUACUCCUGGGUUUUAUUUUGGAAAAUAACAAUGCUUCCAAAUUGUCAUGAUUUGGUAAGAAGGGGAAAAAAACACAUUUUUAAAAUUAGGGAUUAUUAAAGGGAAAACAGUCACACCUCUAGUUCCCUAAAAGUCCCUGUUCUUUAAAAGUUUACAAUCAGGGGGCACCUGGGUGGCUCAGUUGGUUAAGUGGCUCUUGAUUUCGGCCCAGGUCGUGAUCUUAGAAGUCGUGAGUUCCAGCCCCAGGUCAGGCUCCGCACUGACAGCGUGGAGUCUGUUUGUCAUUCUCUUUCCCUCUCUCUCUGCCCCUCCCCUACUUGCAUGCUCUUUCUCCCAAGAUAAAUAAACUUUAAAAAAAUUAUAAAAAAAGUAAAAGUUUAUAAUCGGAAGCAUGCUAACCAUGGAAGAGUCACCAUUCAUUGCUUUCAUUUUUAGAUACAAUGACUGAAUUGUUUUGUACUUUUUAAAAGGAGAAACACAUUCUUUAUAAAGCACUGAUAUUGAAUACUGUCACUUCCCAAAAUAUGAUUAAAAACAAUCAACCUAUAAUUCUCCAUCAAAUAUAUAGCACUUAAAAUACCAGGACAUUUUUGCUAAAAUAUGAAAAAUAUAGGCACUAAAAUAUUGCUCUUCAUCUUUGACUAUAAUUAUUUUUAAUAUUAUCAUAAUAAGUAAUUAUCUUAAGUGAUGAAUAAUAUUUUCCAUUCAUAAGUUCCCUCCACAAGUGUAUAUUGAAUAUCUAUCAUGUACCACACAUAUCAGAUACUACGCUGGAUUCUUAAUAAAUGCCUUAAGAUUUUAUGCGUGUACAUGUGUUUGUGUGCACAUGUGUUUUUCCCAUUUCUCCAAUUUUUUACACAUUUUAAUGUCCUACUUGUGCUACCUCAUACAAUAUCUGUUUAGAACCCAGGUCAGGAUUCUGAACUGCACAUACAUUAUUUUCCACAAUUUCAGCAUUGCACCAAGUUAUUUCCUUUCUCUUCAAAAUAAUUAAAAUACACCAUCAUGAUUUUUCUAAGACUGAAACAUGUAUUGAUUUUUUUUAAAAAACUAAAUUAUUUGUUCCCUUUCACAAUCUGCAAUCUAUGGGUUUGGUUAUCGUUCCAGGUUUUUGAAUGUAUAAAGACACGAGGGCUGAUAAAACUGUACAAGCCAUCUGUCUCUGCAUUUAAAUGUUGAAAGCAAAUACAAAAGCACAUAACCAAAAGCUUGAAAGUUGUCUCAGUUAAUAUUUAUAUCAGGUGUCAAUGUAUUUCCCUCUCCACCUUUGCAUAGCUCACCUUCUCACUCAAAACCCAACAAAAUACUUUUUCUAUGGUUAGGCAUCAAUAGCUGUCAGAGAGCUGCUUGAAUUGCUGAGUUUUAAAGAUGUGAGUUUAAAAUGUGAAACGAUCCAAGUUAAUGGAUCUCCAGCUAUACCUAAGUGGUAGGAUAGCUGAAUGGGUCUUGAUCUCAUUUUAUUAUACCCAGAGGCAGAACCAUUACUUCAUUGAUUAACUCAACUGCUGUAAUUAACAAGUACCUUCUGGCUUGUGGUCCACCUACUUUUCAACCCGAGGACUUGAAACCUUUUAAUUCCAAAGCUUGGAACUGAUAUUUUUAAAAAAAAUCAUGAUACCUUUCCUAUUCCUGGUUAGGCUUCAUACUUUAUGAAUAUUUGGCCUUUUAUGUGAAUGAAUUUUCUCUAGAAUUUUUACUGUCAGGUAAAAUAUGAUUAAACAGACUACCAGGAUUGAAUUGCAAGAGAGAGGAGUCAUUUUUAUAUCAUUUGGGAUCAAACUCAUCCCAUUUCACUCUAGUUUUCAUUUCACUUGAUUUUUAUGAUAGAAAAAUACAUCUUCUAUGCAGAACACACCUGAUUCUCAUGUUACAAUGGCCUUUUUUGUGGUAAGAACAUAUAUCAGUAUUUUUAUGCAAAACAUUUGUUCUUAAGUUCAAUUUUGCUGAUUUCCCCAAGAUUUUAUGGUAGUAGGUAGGAAGUUCGCAGAGCUGUGCAUCACUAAGCACCUUACAGUGAAGGAGGCAUCCCCAGAUUUGGAUUUGCUGCAGCAGUUUCCCAGAUCUCUAGGCAAAUGAUAAAAUUUCUUCACUUGUUUUAAAUAAAUUUCCAUUUUACGUAGACUUUCAUCCUAUAAUUUUGCUUUACACUUGCUGUUAUUAAUAUACUGUGAAAAAUCUUAUUUUUCAUGAUUGCUCUUUGCCUUAAUCAAUUUUCCUAUAAUAAAAGUUCAGGGAAACAAAUACUUUCACCCACUACAUUUGAAGUUAAUUUUAGCAUCUCUAAGAGACCAAUACAAAAACAUCAGUAUCUUUGCUAGCUCAUUCUCACCCUCAUUUUCAGCUUAUGUCUUUCAUUUUUCUCUUUUCCCUUCUUUUCUUUCUUUCUUUCUUUCUUUUUCUUUUUUUUUUUUUUUCUGGCAUGAUGUAACAGUGUAACGAUUUCUUAUCAUCGCUGUGGAUUACCUUGAAUGAAAAGCUGAAGCUAAAUGCUUAUGCUUAUGCAAAUAUGGAGGGACCUGAAAAAUGGGUCAAAUUCAUUUGCUAGGCAUCCCUCCUCUCUACUAUUCUAUCACCACUUACUAUAUUUAUUGAACAGUUGCUGUUAAAAAUCAAAUCAAUUAAUUUGCUUCCCAUCUAAACUAUGGCCAAAAUUAAUUUCAAAUAUGAGAGUUGGCAUGAGAAACAGAGGAACUUGCUUAGCAUUACCCACAUUCCCUUUUGAGACAUCAUUCUACUUCAGAUCACAAUACACAAUGCCAAAUCAAAAUUUUUAAAUCAAUGUCACAUGGGAAUAAAUAUCAGUUAUUACUCUUUUAUAUAGAAAAACAAUCAAAAAGUAUAAUAAAUUCCAUUGCCAUUAAUGUUGCCAUUCCAUUGGCAUACGAAAUAGUGCAGCACAGUUAUGUGGACAGUCUAAGACCCAAAAAUAGAUCUGGCAAAUUUGAACACACUUAUGGGAAAAAUAUUUUUCAUUCAUUCACUCAACAAGCUUUGUUUGAUCAUGUUAGGCUCAAGAGAUUGCUAAAUAGAAUAUCUAAAAUCAGAACCAUCAGGUCACACGGAUAGCUAGGUCAAACAGAAAUAGAUUUAAGUCACAGUCAAACAAUGAAUGAAUAUAGACUUUGUGAAAGUAAUUUUAGAUUCCUAAAAGAUUUUAGCUAGUCCUAGUUUGUCAUCUAUAAAUUAAGAGUAAGAGACUAGAUUUUCAUGCAUGACCUCUACCAUUUUCUUAUUCUCUCAUCAAAUACCACUGUGGUUUGCCAUAGAUAAUCAAACUUUUCAGUGUUGUUUUCAUUUUAGUUAUGAGAAGCCCCAGACAGAGCAAAAAAAUUAUAAAUCAAUUUUUCCUGUAGAUUACAGUAUUAUUUAGGUCACAUUCAGUUUUUUGAAUGUGAAACUAUAUUUAGAACAAGUAUUUAUGUUUCUAAAUCUAAGUAAAAAAAAACCCUAAUGAUUUAGUCAGAGUUUAGCUUAUAGCUCAGAUUUAAAUGCUACAUUGAGACUGCACCUACAGUCACCUUGAGAAGCAAAUGCAAAAAAAAAAACCCACAUCAGCAGGAUUUGACAAAACCUUUGGUUAACAAGUAAACAAGGAUUAAAUGUUUUACACACUCCUCAUACAGAUUUUUUUCCUUGGUCACAGAUGAAAAGUCAACAUUUGCAGAUGGAGACGGUCCAAAUACAAUAACACACGGCCGGCCCAAGCAGCAGAUUCUCUGAGGGAGAGGAUAUUGCUAUUUGGACAGACUUUAUAGCUCACAAAGAAUGGAGAGCACUUCCUUAUAAGUCUUUAGCUUUCUUCUGCAUGGCAUAAAUAUCAGCUGCCUUUGUCUCACCUGCAAAAGCUAACCGCUGAAAAGAAAAUUAUCAGAGAUAAUGUCAUUUAUUAACUAUUAUUAAUGUUUGAUGUUGCAAUCAGUUGAAUAAAAAGGUCUAAGGUUAUUCACUACCAAAUUUUGACCAAACUGCAUGAUAUGAAAUAUUUACAUUAUCGCUGAUCAUAUUUAGUUUCUACUAUAGUUUACCACAUUUUAAAUUAUAUUUAAUAUCUUUCAUUUUAAAUACUCAUUCUCAUAUUGAUAUUUCCUGAAUUAUUCUCCAUUGCUUGGAAUUUGCAUUAUUUCUCAAAAACAUGUAGUGUGGCUUAUUUAAUGUGCAACAGACUUUAAGGAGCCAAUCUAAGGUAUUGAGAAAUGAAGUAAUUUUUUACAGAUUUAUUUCAGGCCAAGAUCCAAAUGUAAAACGGAGAAGCGGCCUAUGUAAUCUUCCAUCUCCUUAAAAAUAUUCUCAGCUGCUUAUCUAAAAACCAGGCCAGGAGUAUAAGUAUUGACUAAGACAAUGGCCAAGGGGACAAUGCAGACAUAAUAAAGUCAUUUAUCAACUAAUAAAGUUGGCUUUUAGUUAAAUAAAGAGAGAUUAUCAGGUAGGCCUAAUGUCAUCAUGUGAGCCCUUGAAAAGCAGGGGAUUUUCAGCAGCAGGUAGCAGAAGGGAGCUCAUACUCAAAGCACAAGAAGGAUUCAAUGGGCCAUUGGUGGCUUUCAAAAUAGAAAAGACCACACAGAAAAGAUCUGAGAGCUGCCUCUAACGGCUGACAGCAACUCCAGCUGGGCAGUCAGUAGGACAAUAGGGAUCUCAGUCCUACAAUGAGAAGGAACAGAAUUCUGCCAACAACAGAGUUGUUUUAGCUAACAGAGUUAGUUAAAAAAAUGGAUUCUUCCUCAGAGACUCCAGAGAAGGGUUCAGUCCAGCUGAUACCUUGAUUUCAGCCAUGGGAAACCCUAGGCAUACUGAGCCCACUUGCACUUAUGAGAUAAUAAGUGGACAGAAGCAGAGAUAAUACAUUUGUAUUGCUGUAACCAGCUAAAUUGUGGUAAUUUGUUACUCAGCAAUAGAAAACUAAUAGAACAUCUGUCGUUUACUCAAGACACACAGUCAGUCAGCAAGUUCUUUAGUCUACCUACUUCCCUGAAAACCCACCAGCUCAAACCACUAUUAUUUCCUAACAGGACUCCCUUUUUCUUUAAGCUCAAUCCCCAAUGUGGGCCUCAAACUCACAACCACAGGAUUAAGAGUCUCAUGCUCUACUGACUGAGCCUUUGUCUACUCUUUUGAAAUUCUAUUCUCCAAUCUUUAGAGUCAUCUAUAUAUUUUAAUUAAGUGAUAGAUAUAGAUAGAUAGAUAUAGAUAGAUGAUAUAGAUAUAGACAGAUACUGAUAUAUAGAUAUAGAUAGCCCUUCAGGCACCUGGGUGGCUUAGUCAGUUAAGCAUCCGACUUCGGCUCAGGUCAUGAUCUCGCAGUUUGUGAGUUCGAGCCCCACAUCGGGCUCUGUGCUAAUAGCCCAGAGCCUGGAGCCUGCUUCGGAUUCUGUCUCUCCCUCUCUAUCUGCAUCUCCUUCACUCACACUCUGUCUCUGUCUCUGUCUCUCUCUCUCUGUCUCUCUCUCUCUCUCCCUCAAAAAUAAAUAAACAUUAAAUAACAACAAAAAAAAGAUAUAGAUAGCCCUUGAACAACAUGAAGGUCAGAAGCAUUGACCCUCAUGCAGUCAUAUGACUUUUGACUCCACCAAAACUUAACUAUUAAUAGCCUACUGUUAACUAUAAGCUUUACAUAAUACAGUUAUUAUAACUAUGUUAUAGUUGAUUAACACACAUCUGUAUGUUGAGGUAUUAUAUGCUGUAUUCUUACAAUAAAGUAAGCUAGAAAAAAGAAAAUGUUAAGAAAAUCAUAAAGAAGAGAAAAUACAUUUGUAGUACUGUACUGCGUUUAUCGAAAAAAAUUCAUGUAUAAGUGGACCCACACAGUUCAAACCCAUGUUGUUCAAGGGUCAGCCAGAGUUGUAAGUAUAUAACUAAUAUACUUAUAUUAGUCUCCUAUUUCUGCUGUAACAAAUUACCACAAACUUAGUGGCUUAAAGCAACAUAAGUUCAUUCAAUUACAGUUCUGGAGGUCAAAAGUCUGAAAUCAAUUUCAUUAAACUGAAGUCAGCAUGUCGACUGCAAUGCUUCCUCCUGGAAACCCUGUGGGGAGAAUCCAUCCCCUUUCCUUCUUUCAGCUUCUAGAGCCAUCCAUGUUUCUUAGCUUCUGGGUCCUUCCCCCAUUCUCAAAGCACAUCUCUCCAAUCUCUGCUUCUUUUAUCACAUCACCUCCUCAAAUUCUUCCUGAAUUCCUCUUAUAAGGACCAUUGUAAUUACAUAAUACCUACGUGGAUAAUCCAGGAUAAUCUCCUCAUUGCAAAAUCCUAAAUCUAGUCACAUCUGCAAGGCCCCUUUGAUAACAUUGUCACAUGUUCUGGGGACUACGAUUUAGGUACAUUUGGGGGCUAUUCAGCCUAACUCGAUAUUUAGAGCAGAAUACCUCACUAACUCAAUAUUUAGAGCAGAAUACCUCACUCCUUUGCUUCGCAUCACAUCAGAGUAAAAGACAGGGUCCUUUCCAUGGCUCAAAAAGUCUCACAUGGUCUGGCUCCUGCCCAACUCUCUGACCUCGUAUCUGCCAACCCUCCCACCUGUUCUCCUGUACCCUAUCUUACUUUGCUACACUCACUUUCUUGCUGUGCCUCAAAUACACCAAGAUCCAUGAGGUCUCAGGGUCUCCGGAUUUGCUAUGAUUUCUGCUUGGGAUAUCUUCUUCUCAUUGGCUCUGGAGAAACUCACUCACUUAAUUUAGAUGUUUCCUCAAAUUAAAUUCUUCAUAGAGGCAUUUCCUGAGCUCUUUAUUAAAUACAUAUAUAUAUAUACCCCUACCCAGUCACUCUCCAUUUCCUUACCCAACUGAGUUCUUCUUAACACUCAUUGCUACCUGUCAUAAUAUAUUUAUUUGUUAAUGAUCUAGCUCUAAGAGUAGAAUCUAAGCGCCACAAUGCCAGGUAAUUUGCUUUUUGAUAACUGCAUCCACAACAUGUGUUACUAUGGCCUGGAACAUUAUAGAUAAUUUCUGGAUACAUUUUUUUUAAAUAAAACAUAAAUGAAGCUUGUUCUGAGUCCUCGAAUCAGCGAACUAACAUAAAAACUGUAUGUAGAACAUUAUGUGACAAGUAAUUUACAUUUAGAAAAAUAGUGAUCCAAUAGUUUUUACCUGUACAUGAGAAACACUGCUAAGAGUUCAUAGCAUAAAAUUUCACUAAGAUAAUACUUGGAACAUCUAAAUGGCAUUAAUAAAUGAAAGAAGCUGCAUUCAAAAGCACUUAUGCACUAUCCUACUUUGGACUUGAAGCAAGUGAAAUGUUCCAAAGUGAAACAUAAUUAGGUUGCUUCCUAUAUCCUAUCAAACUACUUUAUCAUGCCAGAAAAUUCGUAACUCCUUUAACCAUCAGAGCCCUUUAGAUGUCUUCAGAAGUCCAGAUUCACAGAAUACAUAACAAAAUAAUUCUUUAAAGCCUGAAGACACCAAAGUAAUUAUUAGCAAUUAUUCUAAAGCAGAGCCCUAAUGAGAUGCAGAUAAUUGUGUAGGAUUUAGCUCUUUGAUACAGGUAUGCUCAGGUAAAUGGGAUGCCAUUUAGAAAAAAAAAAAAAAGUUGAUUAGGGAAUGUAUUGAAAACUUAAAUGUAGUUUAGCCUCUGUAAAUAUAUUGGCUUACAAUUAUAAGAGAUGAAAUUAUUGUUCACAAAUUUUAGGGGAUAAGGUGAUUUUAAAAGAAGCUAAUAUGUCACAUUAGAUUACAUACAGAAUGUCAUGGUAAAAUUCAUUGCUUAAAUUCAGUUGUACAUAAAGAAAACCUACUCUAAAAAUGAGAAGUUUAAUGUUAUAUUUUGAAAGAAUCUCCUAAGGGAACUGUUGAAAAUAGGAUUACUUCAUUAUUGAAAAUGGCCUGUAUAAUAGACUAUUGUGGAGAGAAAUCUUGCCCUCUCAGGGUGAUGCAUAGAAUUACCCAUUCCAAUCUAAAAUGUCUGUUUAUCUCUGGAUGCACCUUGCAAAUCCAGAGAAAUUACUUCAUUAAUAUCAGUCUUUGAAAGAUAAAUUUCUCUCUUAAAAUAAUAAGAAUUACAUGUGAAUUUUAUAACAUCUAUGUAAAUUUGGCUGAGAUUUCCUGCAUUAUUUUCUGCUCUGCCUAUUGCCAAUCAGAGACCAUAGUUUUCUGACACUAGAAAACAUCUCUUUAAUAUUUUGAUGUUACAGGUAGUUGACCCUAAGUCCCAACUAUUCAACAGAUAAUAAUAUUGACAUAUUUAUCAUAAAAAAUCACUGUCAUGAUGAUUUUAUGUUAUGAGACAUAUGUCAUUAUCAUUUUUCGGAGAUAGAAAAAAGUUUGUUGUAACAUCAAUGUGCUUUAAUAUCUAAUCAAAAAUAUUUACAAAUUUCUCACGGUUAAGCUGAUGUGUACAUGCAAAAUUUUAGGCAGACUCUUGGAAUUAAGUUUCACAGUGAAUAUAAGAAAACAAAAUAGGGGAGAGGGGCUGCCAUUAAUUCUAUAUCUAGAGAAAAAAUCUUGGUAAGCAAAAUUUGACCUUAUCUUCUGAGGGGUCAUCUUUUUUCUUCCUCUGGAUUACUUCAAUAAUUUCUUUGGAGGAGUGGUCACAAUCACAUCUGCUUCCUAUCUAGGUCUCCUGUCCCUUUGCAAUUAAAUAUGUUUUUUAUUAUUUUUCCAAUAUGUCUCACGAAAAUGACCUGUCUCUCGGGCAUAAUUGGUGGUUGGCUAUUCUGACAAACUCAUUAAUCUUAUAAUGUCAUCGACUAAGAGGCUAAGUGUUAUCCUUUGGAAAAAAAGCUACACGUCAGUAAGAGCCAGAUAAAGAUGCUUUAGUCUGCACAUAGGAAGGCUUGAGACAUGAUGGCAGAUGAAUAGAGAAGGCUUGGAGGCAUCCGUCAAAUUGUAACGUGAAAAUAUGCCUCUCCAUGAGCUGGCAGAGCUUGGGUACCUUUCAAUGUCCUGGCAUGGAAGAGAUGGCACUCAAAAGGAUUCCCUCAAAAGAGUUUAAUGAAGGAACUCUGUGGAGUAUGGGCUGGGAAAAGAAAACCAAUAAAAAGUAGAGAGGGAAGCAAGGACCUGGAAAAGUAUGAUGUUAUUACCACUCCUAUAUCUAAAGGGGUAAUCAACAGGGAGGGCGGAAUGGCCCUGGAAUCUAGAAAGAACUAUGGAAGGUCUGGAAGAAGGUAUUCAGGAAACCAGAGAGUGAAUAGACAAGAUAAAUGGUAAUAUAAACGAUAAGUACAAACACGGGAAAGUCUUUGUUUCUGUUUCUUUUGUGAAUCACUAGAUACAAAGCCAAUAAGUAUCCUUCCAACUGAAAUCCAACUGUAAAGUCUUCAUUGGUCUAGACACAUUUUCAAAUUCCUUUAUGGUCAUCCACCGUAAAUCCAAGUGUGAUCAGUUUGGAAACAUUACUUCCUACUAACUAUGCAUAAUAUAUGAGCCAACAAUAAGGAUAAUAACUCAGAAUAAAUAUUAUUUAAAAAUUCAGGGGCACCUGGGUGGCUCAGUUGUUUGUGUCUGAUUUUAGCUCAGGUCAUGAUCUCCCAGUUCGUGAGUUCAAGCUCUACAUCAGGCUCGUUGCUGACAGUGCAGAGCCCAUUUCAGAUCAUCUGUCCCGCUAUCUGCCCCUCCCCUGCUUGUGCUCUCUCAAAAAUAAAUAAAUCAUUAAUAAAUAAAUAAAUAAAUAAAUAAAUAAAUAAAUAUUCAGAGUAACUGGGUCCUCUGUCCCUCUCUCUCUUUGCCCCUCCCCUGCUUGUGCUCUUUAAAAAAUAAAUAAAACAUAAAACAUAAAACAUAAAUAAAGAAAUAAAGAAAUAAAUUAAUUAAUUAAUUAAUUAAAAUUCAGAGUAACUGUGUGAGUUGGUAAAAAGAGAGUUAAUAUUUUUAAUAUUUUAGUAAAAAUUCUUCAAAUGUUGCACUUCAGAUUCUCACCAAAAAUCUCAUUCUUUGUAUAUGUGAAUCAUAACAAAAAUAACUAACCUAGUAUAUCUUCAUCAAAAGUAAAAAUUAUUGGUAAAUUUCAUAAGUUGUAGUUUCUAUGUCUUUUUGACUUUAUGCAGUAAAGUAUGGUUAAAACAUUUGAUUCUUGUUUCAAGUUCUUGAGUUGGCCUCUGUGCCUCAGUCUACCACAUCAAUAAAACCACAAGACAGCUGGCCCUUGCCAAACAUUACCAAUACUGCUUAGGAUGUCAGUUAGUUUCUCUCUAAUAGAAGUGACCUGCACAAUGAACCUUUAUUUUUUAAUCUGGAUGACAGUCAAAGGUUCUGAGAUCUGUGAACCUUUGGCAAGAUUUAUAAAGUUAAGUUGUCAUCUAGAACAACUGGUGUGGCUUUGGUUCAAAAUCAAUCACUAAGAGUAUUUUGUAUCUGGCUGAAAUACUCCAAAAUGUUCUCCCUGUCAGCAUGGAAUGUAAAUAGAAAAACAAAAGCAUAUUUUAUAAUCAUGUUAAAACUAAUAAAUUACUUGAAGUUACUCCUUGGGACCUACAUAUAUAUGUAUAUAUACAUUUAUGUACAUAUACACAUGUGUAGACAUAUAUGUGGGUACAUAUAUAAAUACACAUAUGUGUGUAUAUACAGAUAGCAUUAUUUUUGCUAAUAUAACUAUAUAGUGUAGGUCUUAUUUACAUUCUCCAAGCCUCGUUUUCCUAAAAGAUGACAAAGAUGAGAGAAGAUUAAGUGGUGUUAGUGGAUUAAAUAGACUACUUAAGAUCACAUAUUGCUUGAGCGUCCUCCCUUCAAGCAAUACCACUGAACCAAAUUUUUUUCUCUCAGAGUGUUUCUCAGUGAAUCAAAAGCAUUUUCCUCUCAGGUGAAUAAACACCUUAUGCAGAGCUAAAGAAGUAUACUUUGUGUUUCUACACAAUCAUGCCUGAUUGCGUUCCUGAAGAAAAGUAUGAAUAUAUACCAGUGACUACAAACUGUCCUUCAAAUUCUUUGACAUAAUGUUGAAGAGAGCCAAAGUCAUGAACCAGGAAAAAUAUCAAAGGUCUUCCUCAAAUGCGGGUAUUAUUUUUCCAUUACAUUUUUUUUUCUUGUGGUAAAAUAAAGAUUCAAUGAUUUUUUUUAAUUUGCUUGUUUGCAGGGGAUGAGAGGUUGAUGUCUAAUUCAUUUUACAAAGAGCUAGAAAUGACAACUAUAAACUAUAUUUUCCUUAUGUAAAGAUUCAUUUUUUAAAUUUUUUAAUGUUUAUUUAAUUUUGAGAGAGACAGAGACAGAAUGCAAGUGGGUUGGGGCAGAGAGAGAGGGAGGCACAGAAUCUGAAGCAGGCUCCAGGCUCCGAGCUGUCAGCACAGAGCCUGACGUGGGGCUCGAACUCACGAGCUGUGAGAUCACGACCUGAGCCAAAGUCAGAUGCUCAACCGACUGAGCCCCGCAGGCGCCCCAAGAUUCAUUUUUAAAGUUGGUAUCCAGGUGAAUGAAUAGGGAUGAAGGUCAAGGCGACACUGAGAACUUAUUUGUACUUAUAUUAAUUAUUCUUGGUUAAUGAUCAUCACUACUAUUUUAGGAGCUAAAGCUGUUUGAAAGUGUGUUAUUUGGCUGGCUGCCUAUUCCAAUGCCCUCUGAAUCCCUAAGAGGGUCAGGUCAAUACAAGAAACUCAAAGCUGCUUUCAUUUGUUUAAUUAAAAUAGUCAUUAUAAAUGAACAGAUUGUGUUUGUAAACUUAUAGAGCUUUAAAAAAAACUUACUCUUUCUAAUUGCUACAUGACAAGAUAAGCAGUCUCUAUGAGUGUUUUCGGAACUCCUGCAAGACUUGAAAUUACUAUUUAAUGUUCUCAUGUUCUCUCCUUCUGGGCUGCUCAAAGUCUCUGCACGCUGUCUCACUGUAGUUCACUUUUGUUUCUUGUGAUUCUUUGUUUCUUCCCUGUCUGAACACCUCAGCAUCUUCAGUACACAGCUACAGUGUCAGUAGACUAGAGAUGUCUAGGCCUGUAGUGUUACUGCCUCACCAACUAUUACUAAAUCUAAAUUAUCAGUGAGACUGAUCAAACGACCCAGAUUACAUUAACAGGCUCUUAUAUUUUGGGAAGCACCAAUUUUGGGAUUAUUUUUGUUAUUUGGAAUUGCUGCUAAAUUGAAGUCACAUUAUUUUUGCUGUUUUUCUGAAGGACACACUGGAGUUUUUAGACUUUAUUUUACUUAUUUAUUUAUAUUUUGAAACAGAGAGAGCAGGUGCCCAGGAGGGGUAGACGGAGAGGGACACAGAAUCUUAAGCAGACUCCACGCUCAGUGGUGAGCCUGAUGUGGGGCUCUAUCUCAUGAUCCUGAGAUCAUGACCUGAGCCAAAUCAAGAGUUGGACGCUUUACUGACUGAAGUCACCCAGGUGCUCCCAUGCUGGAUUUUUUUUUUAAUUCCUUUCCAUAAGAAGACUUUCCUGGAUCCAAGUAUUUGAGUACCUAACAAAAUGUACCAAAUGAAUGGAUAGAAGCCAAGCCAUUCCAUUCUCUCUAGUUAUCUCAGUGACAGAUGUAUAUUAACCUAUGAUCAUUGUGGCUGAGACGAUCAGUAUUGAUUGUGAAAAUGGCCACAACUCAGUUUGUGACAUACAGAUACUGCCUAAGUGUUUAAAGGCAUGAAUCAAAAAUCUGACACAGUUAAGUUCAACUUGAGUGGCAGCACUUAGUGCGAUGUAGGGACUGGAAAAUAGGCUGGAUUUGAGGUAAGCUGGCAAUCUAUCCCUGUUUAUGAUUUAACACUGUGCACUGACACAUCUUUUUUUCGAGCCAUCUGCUUCCUUCAUAUCAUUAGAGAACAAGGCAUAGGCCACAUUUCCUCUGUUUAUUUAACAGCAUGCUUGUUAGUGACUGCAUGCAUACCAUCCUUAUUAAUUCAAGAACUCGUGUUUUCAGAUAGGAAAGUGUGCUAUAUGGAUGUUGGAAAUGAUAUAUUCCAGGAACCAAUAAGGUUAAGUUUUCUGAAGUAGAUCCAAUGAUUUCAUAAUUAGUAUUUGGUGUACAUUUCAGUUUCAUUUGCAUAUGCACAUAUGUUCAUUCUUAAGCUUUGCUAACAAAACUAGAUGUAUGAAAAAUCUCUACAUAUUUCAUGUCCAAAUGGAUUACAAAAACUAUGGCCUGGUAAAGCUCUCUGGCUAUUUUUCUUUCUUCUUCUCCUCUUUUAAAAAUCAUCCAGUCAUACUUAACAGGAAAAUUCCUCCACUGUGAAUUAUGAUAUUUCAUGAGUUUCCAUUUUUUAAAGCAAAGUAUAGUUUUAACAGAACCAUUAAGUGAGAUCAGGAGUAAAGGAAUUACAGCAUUCCCAAGCGUUAACAUAUUCAGUGUUUCCCUUUCUUACAAGAAUAGCAGUGCAGAUGUUAAUUAUAAUAGACAGGAAUGACCUGUCAAGACACCUAAAAUCCUUGGUCUUUGAUCCUCUGGUCCUGUGCCGGGUUUGAUGACUGGCUUAUGAAGGAAAAUAAGGAAAUGGAUCUCUAACAGUCAUUUUAAAUGAGCUCUUCAUCUCCCACCCUUUCCAGAACAUCUGGUUUAACCUCAAAAAUUGGAACGAUUGUAAAAUUUUCAUUGAGAGAGUCUGCUGUUGCACUUUAACCAGCUACUUACCCUUCCACUACUGGACUCAAUUAUUAAGGAACAAUUCCAGCACAGUGAGCUGUUUGGAGGCAAUAGCUGUUAAGUGUGUGUGCCCACGCACACAAGGAGAGAUCCCAAAUAACAAAAAUAAUAAUAUCACAGUACUUAUAUAAUAAAAUAAAAUAAAUCAUAGUGUCACUGAAGAAACAAAGAGGUGUUUGGUUUCAUUUUAGGGAAUUAAAGAGUUUGCUCCUUUGG
rnacentral:lncRNA from 1 species